GCCGGAGGAGCGAUGUCCGCCCGGCCUGGCCGCUUCCUUCGCCUGACGGUCAGCGGCGCCCUGCGUUACCCCCGGGCUGCGCGCCCCGCGCCUUUUCUCCAGGCCUCCCCGGGUUACUAGCAGGGCGCGGCUGCCCAGACUAGCGCCCUCGGCAGAACCCAGUGGCUGCUAAAGGAGCUCUCGCAGGCUGCUCGCUGCGGAUGAUGGGAACUGUAAUUCAGGGGCCUUUGACGGCCGCCGAUUCCGAGCGAGCCUGCGUUGGCGGGGUGGGGUCUCCCCGGAGCCUCGGCGGGAGAGCAGCUGGUGGCGCACAUCUGGCCGUAGGGCGGAGAGCGGGGCUCGGGAGGGGUGGCGGCUGGCCUGAGGCUGUUCAGAGAAGUGACGGCUGCUGAAGGUUGCCACGGUGGGUUGAUGUGAAGAGGCUGCUUUUGGCGGGCGCUUCCCCUGUAACAGGCGAGCCUUCCCGGCUUUUCGGCCAAGCCAGGGACCUGCGUUCAUUGAGCCCUGCUUUGCAGUUCUGAGCGUGCCCAACUCCAGCGCCACCACCACCGCCACAUGAGCUCAGAGGCCGCCGCAGCCCCGGCCUCCCUCGCCCCGCCAGAAACGGGAAAGGGACGGCAGCAACCUUCAAGCCACUGCCCUGCUAAGCGCGGCUUCCUCGCAGUUUCGUCCUCCAUCGAUGCAGAGCGUCGGACUUCUCUGUGGGAACAGAGGCAAUGCAGGAGUCACAGCCCUGGGUUCUGAAUGGGUUUGGCCUCUGUGUUUCUUAGGGACCACUUCAAAUCAACAUGGUUUAAAAAAACAAUUGGGGAAAUCCACUCCUUGGAGAACUGCUGCCCCCCCCCAAGGGUUCUCAGGCAACAGAUGGAAGUCAAUGUAAGCCCGGCCUUUGAGGGAAUUCUUCAAAGGGAUUGGAUCCAGUCUCCCCUCCAUCAUCAGUCACAGUACUGCAAUUCCAGGGGGUGGAGCACAGGGAAACCCUAAGAAUAAUUAUGUCUUUGUUGCUGUAAUAAAUUAUUCAAAUUGAGCUGCUUUCCAAACUCCUCCCUGCAGUUCCCCUCUGGUCACCCAGGCAGCAGCAGGAGGGCUGAAGCCCAAAGGCCUCCGAGUCUCCCGGUGGGGGCAGGGGGGCGAGAUCCUCUGCAGUCCCUAGUCUGAUCUGGCCCAUUUUUCAACUCCACCCUUCCUUGAACGGCUUCUCCCCCAACCCUGGUCCAGGGUACCACACCGCCAGUCCCAUGUUCUCCAGAGCUGCUUAGCCUUGAGUGCGCCAAGACCACUCUCCAGACCCGAAGCAAAUUUUAAUCCCACUUCCUUCAGAAAUGCCCCAAGGGACGCUGCCCCCCUCCCUGCAGCAGCCCAACGCCCUUACCUUCUUCAGCACGUGUCUCUGCUCCUUUGCACAGAGAUGCAGACCAUCUGGCUGGCACAGCAUCCUCCCUGCUGAGAGCCCCACCCCCGGGGCUUCCGGUGUGGCGCAGAUGCUUCCCACAGCACUGUCAAACUUCAAAGUGUAUUCAGGCUACUUUCGUUUUGACUGCUUCAGUUUGCUAACAGAUUGGGGGGUGGGAGGAAAAAGAGAUUGGAUGACAUCUAAUUGGACAAUGUGACCUGCAUUAAUGGGGGGAGGGAAGGUUCUAUACUUUAAUUAUACUAAACUGCCCAGGAAUUACCCAGAGCUGCUUCUGCACUCAUUCUGUGCUGAAAUGAUGUACUUAAUAAAGUUUUGAGAGACUGGAUCG